rnacentral:rRNA from 1 species
CGAACGGUAACAGGAAGAAGCUUGCUUCUUUGCUGACGAGUGGCGGACGGGUGAGUAAUGUCUGGGAAACUGCCUGAUGGAGGGGGAUAACUACUGGAAACGGUAGCUAAUACCGCAUAACGUCGCAAGACCAAAGAGGGGGACCUUCGGGCCUCUUGCCAUCGGAUGUGCCCAGAUGGGAUUAGCUAGUAGGUGGGGUAACGGCUCACCUAGGCGACGAUCCCUAGCUGGUCUGAGAGGAUGACCAGCCACACUGGAACUGAGACACGGUCCAGACUCCUACGGGAGGCAGCAGUGGGGAAUAUUGCACAAUGGGCGCAAGCCUGAUGCAGCCAUGCCGCGUGUAUGAAGAAGGCCUUCGGGUUGUAAAGUACUUUCAGCGGGGAGGAAGGGAGUAAAGUUAAUACCUUUACUCAUUGACGUUACCCGCAGAAGAAGCACCGGCUAACUCCGUGCCAGCAGCCGCGGUAAUACGGAGGGUGCAAGCGUUAAUCGGAAUUACUGGGCGUAAAGCGCACGCAGGCGGUUUGUUAAGUCAGAUGUGAAAUCCCCGGGCUCAACCUGGGAACUGCAUCUGAUACUGGCAAGCUUGAGUCUCGUAGAGGGGGGUAGAAUUCCAGGUGUAGCGGUGAAAUGCGUAGAGAUCUGGAGGAAUACCGGUGGCGAAGGCGGCCCCCUGGACGAAGACUGACGCUCAGGUGCGAAAGCGUGAGGAGCAAACAGGAUUAGAUACCCUGGUAGUCCACGCCGUAAACGAUGUCGACU